ACUUUUAUGAAAUGCUUAGACUUCAAAACAGAUGUUUUAAAAAGAAAAGGCUUUUUAAAAACAAACAAAAACCCAAACAACAAAAAAACUUCGUAACAGUGAUCUGUACAAGUUUCCAGAAGCUCGCGGUAUUUAAUCCCUGCGAUUCUAGAUGUCUGUCUUAUCUGUAAUGGCGUGCACCUUACGGAUGCACCGCAGUUGAUCCCACAGUGGCCUGGAACUCUGUGAGCAGCUGAUUUGCCUUUCAAGAGCUGUUGAGAAGUUCCAGAGCCGCUCCGCGCCAUUACUGCUGACUGCUGUGUGAGUCGACCCCAACAUACUGGAGCCACUUCCUCCACCUGUCGCCCUGCCUUGAGCCAGGAAAACAGAUGGGAGGAUGGAAAGUUCCAGUGAGUCUGUGGGCACUUCCUUUUUAAGACAGAUUUAGGAACCUCGGAGGAUAGAUACAUCCUCACCCCAAGGUCUCAGCUGUGCUCUGCGCAGGGGCCUGAGGACCAGCCACGCCCACGGACCCAGGCUGCCAAUCAACUGCACGCAAAGCUCCACAAAUCACAGCCUGCCACGGUUGCGCUCUUCUGACUCCUAAAAGGUUUUGCGUUGGGAGACAUACUUUCCUUUACUUUUUCUACAAGGAAGAAUUUUUGAAUUCAUGGCUUUUAGAGUGUUCAUCUGGGCUUUUAGAGAUGCCUGUGAAAUACUUUUGCUGUGAACAAUCUCACUUCAAAGACAAUUAACAGGAAACUUGGCCCUUUGACUUGACUGCAUCACUUCUGGACGCUGUAUCCGCUCCACGGGGACACAGGAGGUUGAGUGUGGCCCAGCACCUCUGUCACCCCUCUCUGCUUGCUCUGAGUUCAGAGGACAGGACAGGAAACACCUGUGCAGCAACCCCGGGGCUGCCUGGGGCCUUCCCACACUGCAGCCACACCUUCUGUUUCUUUGCUCGCUGAGUCCCACGCCUGCCCCUGGCUAAGGUCUACUGCUGGGCCGAGAGUGCACAGUGUGGUGGUUUACGUUAGGAGCCUGUGCCGAACGGCCUCAGAACUGAAUUCUACGAGGAAGGGGAAGGCGACCUUCUGAGACCCCAAUUCAUGUGGUCCACAGGGUGGUCUUAGAGGAGAGUGCUCUGAUUAAGUUCUGAUGGUUACAGCAUCUUUUUUUUUUCUCGAAAUUUUGUUCUUUUUGGCUCAGUGUGUCUCCAUCAGCAGGACCCAGUUGGGUUUUUACAAUGACAUGAAAAGACGCUUGCCUGUGCUGUUUCCACACACGCCUGCGUGGGCACUUUCUGCGCGCAGUAGUACAUUAGUGGCUCAAACACUCAGGCUGCGGUGAACACUGCUCUGAAACACUGUCUUUAUUCUAUCUAAACCACAGCGUUUGUGUGUGUGUGUGUGUGUGUGUGUGUGUGUGUGUGUGUGUGUGUGUGUGUGUGUGCCAGAGAUCAGACAGCCCACCAGGCAUGUUCUGGGAUGCUAGGAACUACUGUUGGACAUGGGAGACAGAACGGGGGUUCUCGUUCAGGCAGAGUUCGACUGGGUUAGUCUUCCCUAGUGGCCAGGCUGGGGAUAGCUCCACAAGACCACUGGAAGAACACUGGAGGCUGAGAGCCUGAUAAGGCCUCCCAAAGGUGGAGUGGAAGCCACUUAAUAGCUGGCACAAGACACUGCAGAAUGUCUUCCCUUCAGCCCCAGGCUUCCCAGUCCAUUCUGGUCUGACACACCUGUCUGUCCCACCCACACACGAAUAAGAAGCACAACGAGCUACACAGAAGCAGAUCAAAAUCUGUGACAGAGGGUCUCCCCCACCCCUGCUGUGUCCAACAUGACUUCUAUCAGUCCAUCGUCCACGGCUGUGACCAAAUACCUGACAUUAGCAACUUAAAAGGACAAAUGACUCCGGCCCAUGCUUUCAGUAGUUCCAUGGCUUCUAUGCUGCUGGCAAGCCAGCAUAUGACAGAAGGGUGUGUGGAGGAAAGCUGUUCAUCUCAUGAUAGCUGAGAAAGGUUAGGAGCUGUGUGGAGGAGUGGGGUGGGGGGCAUGUGUCCAAGGCAUUCCUCCAGCAACACGCCUCCUCUAACUACACCCCAUUUCCUAGUUUCCUCUACCUCUCAACACCAUUGAAGUAUGAAGCCACCGUUGGAUUAGGCCAGAGCCCUCAUGGUCCAACUGUCCCUAACCUUAAACCCACAGGCUGUCAAGGGGCAGUGCUAUAUUCAAACCAUAACACUUUCAAGAGACUCUGGCAUGCCCUUUGAUCGGUGAGGUGGGUGGGCCUCUGGAAAAUGGAAAACAGUCCCAUGAAUCUGGUGGUGCCAAGGAGGGCCAGGCUUUGUAGGGAAGGUUGGGAACAGUCAAUGCUUGGCCAACUGGAAGCAGAGCAGGAGGCUGAGGAGGGGCAGCCAUGGCUACAGGCGAGCGGAAAGAAACACAAGAGUGCCCUGCAGUGCACCUCAGCUACAGACAGAACACUGCACACCCGAGCCGGCCGGUUAGUCAGUGUUUCCCAGUCAGCACUGGCUGCCUGCCUGGGAGGGAGGAGCCUGUAC